CCUACGGGAGGCAGCAGUGAGGAAUAUUGGUCAAUGGGCGGGAGCCUGAACCAGCCAAGUCGCGUGAGGGAAGACGGUCCUAUGGAUUGUAAACCUCUUUAGGCGGGGAGCAAUGCCGGGCACGCGUGCCCGGAGGGAGAGUACCCGCAGAAUAAGCAUCGGCUAACUCCGUGCCAGCAGCCGCGGUAAUACGGAGGCUGCGAGCGUUAUCCGGAUUUAUUGGGUUUAACGGGUGCGUAGGCGGAUUUUUAAGUCAGCGGUAAAAUGUCCGGGCUCAACCCGGGCCGGCCGUUGAAACUGGGGAUCUUGAGUGGGCGAGAGGUAUGCGGAAUGCGUGGUGUAGCGGUGAAAUGCAUAGAUAUCACGCAGAACUCCGAGUGCGAAGGCAGCAUACCGGCGCCCGACUGACGCUGAGGCACGAAAGCGUGGGGAGCGAACAGGAUUAGAUACCCUAGUAGUC
rnacentral:rRNA from 1 species